UCUACCCUACGGGAGGCAGCAGUAGGGAAUCUUCCACAAUGGGCGAAAGCCUGAUGGAGCAACGCCGCGUGGGUGAAGAAGGUCUUCGGAUCGUAAAACCCUGUUGUUAGAGAAGAAAGUGCGUGAGAGUAACUGUUCACGUUUCGACGGUAUCUAACCAGAAAGCCACGGCUAACUACGUGCCAGCAGCCGUGGUAAUACGUAGGUGUCAAGCGUUAUCCGGAUUUAUUGGGUUUAAAGGGUGCGCAGGCGGCCUGUUAAGUCAGCGGUAAAAGCCCGGGGCUCACCCCCGGCGAGCCGUUGAA
rnacentral:rRNA from 1 species